UACGUAGGGUGCAAGCGUUGUCCGGAAUUAUUGGGCGUAAAGGGCUCGUAGGCGGUCUGUCACGUCGGGAGUGAAAACUCAGGGCUUAACCCUGAGCCUGCUUCCGAUACGGGCAGACUAGAGGUAUGCAGGGGGAGAACGGAAUUCCUGGUGUAGCGGUGAAAUGCGCAGAUAUCAGGAGGAACACCGGUGGCGAAGGCGGUCUCUGGGCAUUACCUGACGCUGAGGAGCGAAAGUGUGGGGAGCGAACAGG
rnacentral:rRNA from 1 species